rnacentral:rRNA from 1 species
GACGAACGCUGGCGGCGUGCCUAAUACAUGCAAGUUGAGCGCUGAAGGUUGGUACUUGUACCAACUGGAUGAGCAGCGAACGGGUGAGUAACGCGUGGGGAAUCUGCCUUUGAGCGGGGGACAACAUUUGGAAACGAAUGCUAAUACCGCAUAAAAACUUUAAACACAAGUUUUAAGUUUGAAAGAUGCAAUUGCAUCACUCAAAGAUGAUCCCGCGUUGUAUUAGCUAGUUGGUGAGGUAAAGGCUCACCAAGGCGAUGAUACAUAGCCGACCUGAGAGGGUGAUCGGCCACAUUGGGACUGAGACACGGCCCAAACUCCUACGGGAGGCAGCAGUAGGGAAUCUUCGGCAAUGGACGAGAGUCUGACCGAGCAACGCCGCGUGAGUGAAGAAGGUUUUCGGAUCGUAAAACUCUGUUGGUAGAGAAGAACGUUGGUGACAGUGGAAAGCUCAUCAAGUGACGGUAACUACACAGAAAGGGACGGCUAACUACGUG